AUUGAACGCUGGCGGCAUGCCUUACACAUGCAAGUCGAACGGCAGCACGGGGGCAACCCUGGUGGCGAGUGGCGGACGGGUGAGUAAAGCAUCGGAACGUAUCCUGGAGUGGGGGGAUAACGUAGCGAAAGUUACGCUAAUACCGCAUAUUCUGUGAGCAGGAAAGCAGGGGAUCGCAAGACCUUGCGCUCUGGGAGCGGCCGAUGUCGGAUUAGCUAGUUGGUGGGGUAAAGGCCUACCAAGGCGACGAUCCGUAGCGGGUCUGAGAGGAUGAUCCGCCACACUGGGACUGAGACACGGCCCAGACUCCUACGGGAGGCAGCAGUGGGGAAUUUUGGACAAUGGGCGCAAGCCUGAUCCAGCCAUGCCGCGUGAGUGAAGAAGGCCUUCGGUGUAACGACUGCCACGCGUUAAGAACUCGCAGGCCCGAACAACGCCCUGCGUUGACGAAGGCGCGAGAGGAAGCCACGGCUAACUCUGUGCCAGCAGCCGCGG
rnacentral:rRNA from 1 species